UACGUAGGGUGCGAGCGUUAAUCGGAAUUACUGGGCGUAAAGCGUGCGCAGGCGGUUUUGUAAGACAGGCGUGAAAUCCCCGAGCUCAACUUGGGAAUGGCGCUUGUGACUGCAAGGCUAGAGUAUGUCAGAGGGGGGUAGAAUUCCACGUGUAGCAGUGAAAUGCGUAGAGAUGUGGAGGAAUACCGAUGGCGAAGGCAGCCCCCUGGGCCAAUACUGACGCUCAUGCACGAAAGCGUGGGGAGCAAACAGG
rnacentral:rRNA from 1 species